GAUGAACGCUGGCGGCGUGCCUAAUACAUGCAAGUCGAGCGAACAGACGAGGAGCUUGCUCCUCUGACGUUAGCGGCGGACGGGUGAGUAACACGUGGAUAACCUACCUAUAAGACUGGGAUAACUUCGGGAAACCGGAGCUAAUACCGGAUAAUACAUUCAACCGCAUGGUUCAAUGGUGAAAGACGGUUUUGCUGUCUCUUUUAGAUGACUCCGCGCCGCAUUAGCUAGUUGGUAAGGUAACGGCUUACCAAGGCAACGAUGCGUAGCCGACCUGAGAGGGUGAUAGGCCGCACUGGAGCUGAGCCGCGGACCAGACGCCUACGGGAGGCAGCAGUAGGGAACGGGACGCAGUGGUCGAGAGCCUGACGGAGCAACGCCGCGUGUGUGAUGAAGGCCUUCGGAGCGUAAAGCUCUGUUAUGAGGGAAGAACAAAUGUGUAAGUAACUAUGCACGUCGUGACGGUACCUAAUCAGAAAGCCACGGCUAACUACGUG
rnacentral:rRNA from 1 species